UACGUAGGUGGCAAGCGUUGUCCGGAAUUACUGGGUGUAAAGCGCGUGUAGGCGGCAGACCAAGUCGGCGGUGAAAGCGCCCGGCUCAACUCCGGAAUUGCCUUUAAAAACUGCAUCGCUAGAAUUGUGGAGAGGUAAGUGGAAUUCCGAGUGUAGAGGUGAAAUUCGUAGAUAUUGGGAAGAACACCGGUGGCGAAGGCGGCCAACUGGACCACAACUGACGCUGAGGCGCGAAAGCGUGGGGAGCAAACAGG
rnacentral:rRNA from 1 species